rnacentral:rRNA from 1 species
GAUGAACGCUGGCGGCGUGCCUAAUACAUGCAAGUCGAGCGAACAGACGAGGAGCUUGCUCCUCUGACGUUAGCGGCGGACGGGUGAGUAACACGUGGAUAACCUACCUAUAAGACUGGGAUAACUUCGGGAAACCGGAGCUAAUACCGGAUAAUAUCUUGAACCGCAUGGUUCAAUAGUGAAAGACGGUUUUGCUGUCACUUCUAGCUGGAUCCGCGCCGCAUUAGCUAGUUGGUAAGGUAACGGCUUACCAAGGCAACGAUGCGUAGCCGACCUGAGAGGGUGAUCGGCCACACUGGAACUGAGACACGGUCCAGACUCCUACGGGAGGCAGCAGUAGGGAAUCUUCCGCAAUGGGCGAAAGCCUGACGGAGCAACGCCGCGUGAGUGAUGAAGGUCUUCGGAUCGUAAAACUCUGUUAUUAGGGAAGAACAAAUGUGUAAGUAACUAUGCACGUCUUGACGGUACCUAAUCAGAAAGCCACGGCUAACUACGUG